rnacentral:rRNA from 1 species
CCGGCGCACGGGUGCGUAACGCGUAUACAAUCUACCUUAUAGAGGGGGAUAGCCCAGAGAAAUUUGGAUUAAUACCCCAUAGUAUUAUGAAAUAGCAUUAUUUUAUAAUUAAACAUUUAUGGCUAUAAGAUGAGUAUGCGUUCUAUUAGUUAGUAGGUAAGGUAACGGCUUACCUAGACUUCGAUAGAUAGGGGUCCUGAGAGGGAGAUCCCCCACACUGGUACUGAGACACGGACCAGACUCCUACGGGAGGCAGCAGUGAGGAAUAUUGGACAAUGGGCGAGAGCCUGAUCCAGCCAUGCCGCGUGCAGGAAGACGGCCCUAUGGGUUGUAAACUGCUUUUAUACAGGAAGAAACACUCCCUUGCGAGGGAGCUUGACGGUACUGUACGAAUAAGGAUCGGCUAACUCCGUGCCAGCAGCCGCGGUAAUACGGAGGAUCCAAGCGUUAUCCGGAAUCAUUGGGUUUAAAGGGUCCGUAGGCGGGACAAUCAGUCAGCGGUGAAAGUCUGUGGCUCAACCAUAGAAUUGCCAUUGAUACUGUUGUUCUUGAAUACUUAUGAAGUGGUUGGAAUAUGUAGUGUAGCGGUGAAAU